rnacentral:rRNA from 1 species
GACGAACGCUGGCGGCGUGCUUAACACAUGCCAGUCGAACGGAAAGGCCCUGCUUGCAGGGUACUCGAGUGGCGAACGGGUGAGUAACACGUGGGUGAUCUGCCCUGCACUUCGGGAUAAGCUUGGGAAACUGGGUCUAAUACCGGAUAGGAGCCAUCUUUAGUGUGGUGGUUGGAAAGUUUUUUCGGUGUAGGAUGAGCUCGCGGCCUAUCAGCUUGUUGGUGGGGUAAUGGCCUACCAAGGCGGCGACGGGUAGCCGGCCUGAGAGGGUGUACGGCCACAUUGGGACUGAGAUACGGCCCAGACUCCGACGGGAGGCAGCAGUGGGGAAUAUUGCACAAUGGGCGCAAGCCUGAUGCAGCGACGCCGCGUGGGGGAUGAAGGCCUUCGGGUUGUAAACUCCUUUCGCUAGGGACGAAGCUUUUUGUGACGGUACCUAGAUAAGAAGCACCGGCUAACUACGUG